GACGAACGCUGGCGGCGUGCCUAAUACAUGCAAGUAGAACGCUGAAGAGAGGAGCUUGCUCUUCUUGGAUGAGUUGCGAACGGGUGAGUAACGCGUAGGUAACCUGCCUUGUAGCGGGGGAUAACUAUUGGAAACGAUAGCUAAUACCGCAUAACAAUGGAUGACACAUGUCAUUUAUUUGAAAGGGGCAAUUGCUCCACUACAAGAUGGACCUGCGUUGUAUUAGCUAGUAGGUGAGGUAACGGCUCACCUAGGCGACGAUACAUAGCCGACCUGAGAGGGUGAUCGGCCACACUGGGACUGGGACACGGCCCAGACUCCUACGGGAGGCAGCAGUAGGGAAUCUUCGGCAAUGGGGGCAACCCUGACCGAGCAACGCCGCGUGAGUGAAGAAGGGUUUCGGAUCGUAAAGCUCUGUUGUAAGUCAAGAACGAGUGUGAGAGUGGAAAGUUCACACUGUGACGGUAGCUUACCAGAAAGGGACGGCUAACUACGUG
rnacentral:rRNA from 1 species